rnacentral:rRNA from 1 species
UACGUAGGGUGCAAGCGUUGUCCGGAUUUAUUGGGCGUAAAGGGCGCGUAGGCGGCCCGGCAAGUCAUGUGUGAAAUCUCCCGGCUCAACUGGGAGGGGUCAGGUGAGACGUGCCGGGCUGGAGCAAGGUAGGGGGCGAGUGGAAUUCCCGGUGUAGUGGUGGAUGCGUAGAUAUCGGGAGGAACACCGGUGGCGAAGGCGGGGUCUCUGGGCAGUAACUGACGCUGAGGAGCGAAAGCGUGGGGAGCGAACAGG